AGUGAACGCUGGCGGUAGGCCUAACACAUGCAAGUCGAACGGCAGCACAGGAGAGCUUGCUCUCUGGGUGGCGAGUGGCGGGCGGGUGAGGCGUACAUAGCAAUCUGCCCAGUCUUGGGGGAUAUCGUAGGGAAACUUACGCUAAUACCGCAUACGACCUUCGGGUGGGAGAGGGGGGUCGCAAGACCUCUCGCGAUUGUGUACGCGCGUGUCGGAUUAGCUAGUUGGCGGGGUAAUGGCCCACCGAGGCGACGAGCCGUCGCGGGUGUGAGAGGAUGAUAAGCGACACUGGAACUGAGACACGGUCCAGACUCCUACGGGAGGCAGCAGUGGGGAAUAUUGGACAAUGGGCGGAAGCCUGAUCCAGCCAUACCGCGUGGGUGAAGAAGGCCUUCGGGUUGUAAAGCCCUUUUGUUGGGAAAGAAACCUUUCAGGCUAAUACCCUGGGAGGAUGACGGUACCCAAAGAAUAAGCACCGGCUAACUUCGUG
rnacentral:rRNA from 1 species